rnacentral:rRNA from 1 species
GAUGAACGCUGGCGGCGUGCUUAACACAUGCAAGUCGAACGAUGAAGCCCAGCUUGCUGGGUGGAUUAGUGGCGAACGGGUGAGUAACACGUGAGUAACCUGCCCUUAACUCUGGGAUAAGCCUGGGAAACUGGGUCUAAUACCGGAUAUGAGCGUCCACCGCAUGGUGGGUGUUGGAAAGAUUUAUCGGUUUUGGAUGGACUCGCGGCCUAUCAGCUUGUUGGUGAGGUAAUGGCUCACCAAGGCGACGACGGGUAGCCGGCCUGAGAGGGUGACCGGCCACACUGGGACUGAGACACGGCCCAGACUCCUACGGGAGGCAGCAGUGGGGAAUAUUGCACAAUGGGCGAAAGCCUGAUGCAGCGACGCCGCGUGAGGGAUGACGGCCUUCGGGUUGUAAACCUCUUUCAGUAGGGAAGAAGCGAAAGUGACGGUACCUGCAGAAGAAGCACCGGCUAACUACGUG